ACAUGCCAACCUCAGUCAGUUUCCUCAGCUCCUCUGUCCUCCUCGAAGUUGUUGUUUUCUGCAUUCCUGUGUCAUUUCUCACCUUACUUAUAUCACUUACCAGUUCAAGCUCUCUUGGAAAUGUUCCUUCAACAUUUGCAUGCACGUUAACAAUUAAAUGCUAGGAGACACUUCUUCCUAUGUGUAAAGGAGUGACUGGUUUCCUUCCCAUUCUGGACCAGCAGCAGUGUCCUAAAUUAUUUUGUCCAAGGUCCUCGUAAAGAGAAACAGGAAUCUUUGUUCCCCCUUUCUUAGCAGAAGUCUUAGCUACUUGCAGUCACAUACAGACAAGGAAUAGGACAGUAAAAUGGCAAAAGGAGCUGGUAAAAGGCCGGUUUACUUAGCCUGUCAUAAUUCAUAAUUCACUGUUCCCUUUGAAGGCUGAGGGAGCUUUACCAGCACCCUUUUUGAGCAGCUUCGCAGACUGACAGUGGAGAGGAGGGGAGUGAGGGCGAACUCCAGCAGGGUUUGGAAGCUGUGAAAUUGCUGAGAAAGAAAGAGAACAAGUUGUGUUGCCUCCUAGGGGAGCAGCCAGCCAGGCUGCUGGCACCAGGACUGCUGUGACCCAGCACUCCGCUGACAGGCGAGCAUCCUUCCCACGUCACUAAACCCCAUCCCUUGCCAACUUCCAGCAGCACCACAGAGCCCCUGGGCUGUCGAGGUGAAACUUUUACACAUGGGAAGUGGGACAGCAUGAGUAUGUGCUACUACCCAGCUGGCUGAAAAGACCCAGGAGCGAGGCCAUCCUGAGCAGCCCUGUGGCUUCAGCAGGUGGCACUCUUCCCUCUGCAUCCUGCCCACUGCUCCCAGGUCUCUUCUCCUCCUGGAGGUGUUUUUCUUUUGGCUAAGGAAUAAAGGUGAAGUUCUGGCCACUUGUGGUCAUUUAAAACACCGCGGUGUUUUUCAAAAUGUAAGGGUGCUGGCCCAGGUAUCCCUGCCAAAUUGCAGCCUGGGUAGCGUCCCACCAGCCCGCGGCUCCACUGGUGACUGCGCUUAGAUGUGAUUUAUUUCUUCACUUCCUGUCCUAAAGGAACACCCACGGAGCUGGGAAAGCCAGGCACAGGCAGCACACUGGGGCUUCUGGUGCAAAGG